UACCCUAAAGACGAGGAUAACCAUUGGAAACAGUGGCUAAGACUGGAUAGGAAGAUAAAAGGCAUCUUUUAUCUUUUAAAAGACCUAGUAAUAGGUAUGCUUUAGGAGGGGCUUGCGCCAUAUUAGUUAGUUGGUAGGGUAAUGGCCUACCAAGACGAUGAUGUGUAGCUGGACUGAGAGGUUGAACAGCCACAUUGGGACUGAGACACGGCCCAAACUCCUACGGGAGGCAGCAGUAGGGAAUUUUCGGCAAUGGAGGAAACUCUGACCGAGCAACGCCGCGUGAAUGACGAAGUACUUCGGUAUGUAAAGUUCUUUUAUCAAGGAAGAAAAGCAAAUGGCGAACCAUUUGUUUGCCGGUACUUGAUGAAUAAGCCCCGGCUAAUUAUGUGCCAGCAGCCGCGGUAAGACAUAAGGGGCAAGUGUUAUCCGGAAUUAUUGGGCGUAAAGGGUGCGUAGGCGGUCUAGUAAGUCAGUGGUGUAAUGGCAACGCUUAACGUUGUCCGGCUAUUGAAACUGCUAAACUUGAGUUAGAUAGAGGCGAGUGGAAUUCCAUGUGUAGCGGUAAAAUGCGUAAAUAUAUGGAGGAACACCAGAGGCGUAGGCGGCUCGCUGGGUCUUAACUGACGCUGAGGCACGAAAGCGUGGGGAGCAAACAGGAUUAGAUACCCUGGUAGUCCACGCCGUAAACGAUGAGUACUAAGUGUCGGGUUAAACCGGUACUGAAGUUAACACAUUAAGUACUCCGCCUGAGUAGUACGUACGCAAGUAUGAAACUUAAAGGAAUUGACGGGACUCCGCACAAGCGGUGGAUCAUGUUGUUUAAUUCGAAGAUACCCGAAAAACCUUACCAGGUCUUGACAUGUUUUUGCAAAAUGAUAGUAAUAUCGUGGAGGUUACCAGAAACACAGGUGGUGCAUGGUUGUCGUCAGCUCGUGUCGUGAGAUGUUAGGUUAAGUCCUAAAACGAGCGAAACCCUUAUCGUUAGUUGCCAGCACGUUAUGGUGGGGACUUUAACGAGACUGCCAAUGAUAAAUUGGAGGAAGGUGAGGAUCACGUCAAAUCAGCAUGCCCCUUAUGACCUGGGCUACAAACGUGAUACAAUGGCUGUUACAAAGGGUAGCUGAAACGCAAGUUCUUGGCCAAUCCCCAAAAACAGUCCCAGUCCGGAUUGAAGUCUGCAACUCGACUUCAUGAAGUUGGAAUCGCUAGUAAUCGCGAAUCAGCAUGUCGCGGUGAAU
rnacentral:rRNA from 1 species